AAAAGAAGAUCAAGAAGAGCUUCAGAAUGAAGCUUUCUUGAUGGAGGGGAGCGGCAGACGGGUGAGUAACACGUGGGAACAUACCCAUCUCUGCGGAACAACUCUGGGAAACUGGAGCUAAUACCGCAUACGCCCUUCGGGGGAAAGAUUUAUCGGGGAUGGAUUGGCCCGCGUUGGAUUAGCUAGUUGGUGGGGGAAAGGACUACCAAGGAGACGGUCCAUAGCUGGUCUGAGAGGUUGAUCAGCCACAUUGGGACUGAGACACGGCCCAAACUCCUACGGGAGGCAGCAGUGGGGAAUAUUGGACAAUGGGCGCAAGCCUGAUCCAGCCAUGCCGCGUGAGUGAUGAAGGCCUUAGGGUUGUAAAGCUCUUUCACCGAUGAAGAUAAUGACGGUAGUCGGAGAAGAAGCCCCGGCUAACUUCGUGCCAGCCGCCGCAGUAA
rnacentral:rRNA from 1 species